GUGGGGAAUAUUGGACAAUGGGCGAAAGCCUGAUCCAGCCAUGCCGCGUGUGUGAAGAAGGUCUUCGGAUUGUAAAGCACUUUAAGUUGGGAGGAAGGGCAGUAAGUUAAUACCUUGCUGUUUUGACGUUACCAACAGAAUAAGCACCGGCUAACUUCGUGCCAGCAGCCGCGGUAAUACGAAGGGUGCAAGCGUUAAUCGGAAUUACUGGGCGUAAAGCGCGCGUAGGUGGUUUUGUAAGUUGGAGGUGAAAUCCCCGGGCUCAACCUGGGAACUGCCUACAAAACUGCAUGACUAGAGUACGGGAGAGGGUAGUGGAAUUUCCUGUGUAGCGGUGAAAUGCGUAGAUAUAGGAAGGAACACCAGUGGCGAAGGCGACUACCUGGACUGAUACUGACACUGAGGUGCGAAAGCGUGGGGAGCAAACAGGAUUAGAAACCCUGGUAGUCC
rnacentral:rRNA from 1 species